GCAAAGUUUCCAUCUUUUAGAAAGCACCCUCCAAUAUUCAUUUGUUUGACCAGCUUUUUCUUGGAUGCAUCCCAUUUCAAAUUGGCAAAAAUUACCAUUUCAAGAAAUUAAUUGUUAUGUCAUAUUUUCAUCAUCUUAUACGCUGGAUAAUAACAAGAAACGAAUGAUAAUAUAGUUCAUAACUCAAAAUCAUUUUUAGCUAUUUGCUACUAUAUAAAUAUUCUGGCUAAUAUUCAGGCAUUUUCUUUUAUUUCAGAUUGAAUAUUUAGUGGAAUCAUGUUUGCCAGCCGUUGCAGAUGUCGACUGCACUCAUACAAAGAAGAUAAGUGGAACUUUUCCUAGAGGCGGAGAUGUCAUCUACGGAAUUUCUCACUAGCAUACCAGAGGGCUGGUAUAGCCGUCCAUGAAGAGGAAGUAUGAGCUAUUAUAUUUUGUUUCUUUGGAAAUGUUCUGCUUACAGUCUGUAUUAUUUGUAUACAUUGCUAAUAAAAUUUCACCACUUUCAAGAACAAAUUGAUUCAUAUCUAAUCACAGUGUGUUGUUAGCAUUCAUUUGACAUGAUUCUCAUACAGUCUCAAAUUAGUAGUGGAGGUGCGUCAAGUGUUUAAGAACACAGAAGAAAAUUUCCAAAAGAAUAUCAUGAAUGAAAGAAUUGCAAGAUUAUCUGGUAGUGUUGCCAACAUUCAAGUCAAACGAUGAAUCUGCCCUGGCAUAUUAUGAAUCUAUUAGUAAACAUUUUUGAUACCCAAAGUAUAUGAAAAUGUAAAAGGCGAAUCUGAUUGUGUUACCAGCAAGCAUUUUUGUGUAAUAUGCUCAAACUUUUCUAACUAUCAUGUUGUAUUAGGAUGAGCCCUUCAUGAAACCCAGUCUUGAAGACAUGAAGAACGCCGUUGUGGUACCCUCAUAGCUUCUGCUUCUAAGGGAAAAGUUAAAGGCUACCCAAUUUGGGGUAAUCCAAAGCAUUCUUAAAUGAGAAUUUUACCUUCCCCUUCUGCAUGCCCGUGCAUUGCGAAUUCAAAAGCUUUAGGCUUUACCUGUUUCAAAGCUGUGAACUUCGAAUGUUUUAAGUGAUCAACAUAUGCCAGAUCAUUGGAAAUUUGAGACCCGGAGAUGCCUAUUUCAAGCUUGAAAAGGAGCUGAGAAACUUUGUUAUAUCAUGGAUCACUCCUUUGUCUAUAUUUGUUUACAUGAUUUGCUAUAAUUAGGACACAAGUUUUACACAAAAUCUCUGAUUUUCAAGACACUUUUUUUAAUGUGAUAUCUUGGAAACAAGGUUUGCUCUUUCUUGAGGUUAACAUAAUUUCCUGGCUUGGCUUCUAUUAUGGCAUUCUCCCUUGUCCUGGGUAACAGAACAAGUAACUGCGCAGAAGCACCAGCUAUGCUCUUUGGAAUGUCAUGGUGUCUGGAUAAUGGUCACAGCAAUAUCAUGGCUGAAAGUGAUUCGAAACUGAUAGUGGACAGCAUCAUUAAUUCUAAAAGCAUCUGCUGAGAAUUUUCAAGGAAAUCCAAAAGCUGAAAGAGCUUCUCCAACAGACCACUUCAACAUUAAGCACUACUUUAGGGAAAUAAACCAAGUGGCGGACAAACUAGCAUCUCUGGUUCCAGAUGAUAUUUCAACUAUGCAGUAUGGCCAUGGACAGAUGGGGCUACCGGCUAUAAAGAUAUCUAUCUAGAAGGAAGAAAAAGAAUUGGUCCUUGAUCCACCUUAAUUCCUUGUAUCACUCUCUUUCUAUAGGCUACAUAAUUCAAUGUUUAGGAUAUGGAUAUUCAUACAUAUUCUUGUCCCUCUUGCAUUUACCUCAUCUCAGUUCUUGUGUAAGGGUGGUAGUGCUAGCCUUCAAAUUAGCCUAUGAAGGAUGUGUUGCGCUCAACCCCCUCAAAACCAGCUAUUAUAGCCUUUUGGAGAU